GACGAACGCUGGCGGCGUGCUUAACACAUGCAAGUCGAACGGACAGGCCCUGCUUUUGUGGGGUGCUCGAGUGGCGAACGGGUGAGUAACACGUGAGUAACCUGCCCUUGACUUUGGGAUAACUUCAGGAAACUGGGGCUAAUACCGGAUAGGAGCUCCUGCUGCAUGGUGGGGGUUGGAAAGUUUCGGCGGUUGGGGAUGGACUCGCGGCUUAUCAGCUUGUUGGUGGGGUAGUGGCUUACCAAGGCUUUGACGGGUAGCCGGCCUGAGAGGGUGACCGGCCACAUUGGGACUGAGAUACGGCCCAGACGCCUACGGGAGGCAGCAGUGGGGAAUAUUGCACAAUGGGCGGAAGCCUGAUGCAGCAACGCCGCGUGCGGGAUGACGGCCUUCGGGGUGUAAACCGCUUUCGCCUGUGACGAAGCGUGAGUGACGGUAAUGGGUAAAGAAGCACCGGCUAACUACGUG
rnacentral:rRNA from 1 species